AAAACAUGACUCUGAUCGGCGCCCUCAUCUGGACUCUCCUCUGCUGCUGCUUCACAGAGUCCAGAGGCCAGAUCACAGUGACUCAGCCUGGAGCAGUGAGGUCUGCUCUGGGAGAGUCCGUCACCAUCAACUGUAAGACCAGUCCAGGGGUUUAUGGUGGGAGCUAUUUACACUGGUACCAACAGAAAGAUGGAGAAACUCCUAAACUGCUCAUUUACUAUGCUGACACUCGAGAAUCAGGGAUUCCAGAUCGUUUUACAGGCAGUGGAUCAAACACUGACUUCACUCUGACCAUCAGUGGAGUCCAGACUGAAGAUGCAGCAGUUUACUACUGUCAGAGUGUUCAUUAUAUCAACAGUCAGUGGUUGUUCACACAGUGAAAAAGAGUCGUACAAAAACCUCCCUCAGUCAGACUGAACAGAAACUGAACUGACUGCUGCAGCUGGAAGCUACAACAGAGACUGAUACA